rnacentral:rRNA from 1 species
UACGUAGGGGGCAAGCGUUAUCCGGAUUUAUUGGGCGUAAAGAGCUCGUAGGCGGCCGUUCGCGUCGGAUGUGAAAGCUCAGGGCUCAACUCUGAGACGCCAUUCGAUACGGGACGGCUAGAGGUAGGUAGGGGAGAGUGGAAUUCCUGGUGUAGCGGUGAAAUGCGCAGAUAUCAGGAGGAACACCGGUGGCGAAGGCGGCUCUCUGGGCCUGCACUGACGCUCAUGCACGAAAGCGUGGGGAGCAAACAGG